AUUGUACUGGGUUGCGAACUUGUGAUGGUUUUAGUUAAUGGAAAAUAAAUUAUAGAUUACUUGAAUGUCAAGCUAUGUAAUUCGUUUUCUUUAUAAGAGUUGAUUGAUGAAGGCUCUUGAACAUUUUUUCCUCGCUACAUUCUUUCUGAUUUGUUCUUUUAUCAAUUUAGUGAUGGUAGUUUUUUACUUGACAAAACUGAUUAUUGGGCCAAGAACUCUUAGUGGAUAAUAAAGUUUGCUAUUUUAAAA
rnacentral:misc_RNA from 1 species